AACCAACUUGUUUCUGCUUCAGUAUAUCUUCAAAAAAACAAACCAGCAAACAAUAAGCAGGGGGAAAAUGUCUUUUCGGAAUGGGUUGAAGAGAGCCUGGAAAGAAAGACAAUGAAAAGAGCAAGAAUAAGCUCACUCUUUGAGGAGUUUUGCUAUUAAGAGGAGAUUACGAGAGCAAAAGCUGAAGGAGAACGUGAGGUCAAGAGAUGAAUUUGGUUUUUGUUUCUGAAAGCCCUAGGCUUUGUCAGACGGAUGUGAUAACCAUGGAAUCUAAGAAAAGCAGGAUGAAGAUGAAGUUAUAAAGAAGGUUCCAUUGAAGAAUUAUAUGGAAAUAUCUUGACAAGAGGCAUCAAACAUAUCAAUCUUGAACUACUUUUCCAGUGAUCAUUCUCUGCCUUCUAAAGAUCCUUUGUGUGAGGCUCUGAGACACCAUCUUCAUGGGACCCAGAGCAGGUCCUCUUUCAGAAUUCCCUUCUGUCCCCUCUGUAAGAAAUGUCCUCUUACUUUCUAGGGGGCCAUGUAGCCUAUUAGGAAAAGCACUGUCUUGAAAAAAAAACACAGAUUCUGAUUUCGUUCCUGGUCUUGCCACAGAAUAACUUUAUGAUUUUGGACAAGUUGCCUAAAUUUUCUCUGUGGAGUCAGACAGAUGAUUAAUGGCUUAAAUGAGAUAGCUUAUGAAAAUCAACCAGUACUUGCCUGAUUUUUUUUUUUUUUACUGUUUUGCAUCUUUAGAUAUGACAUACUUCAAAAUCCAUUUUAAUAUAAAGUAUCCCACUUAAAAUGUGAGCUGCUUCUUCAUUCAUAAAAUAACUAUGUUAACUGCAUCAAAUAAGAUGUCAAAAAAUAAUAAUUUGUUAGUAAGAAAUCCCUAAGUAUCUCUUAUAGAGAAUAUACUCAUGUUUAGUAACAGAAAAAUUUCAGCUCCGUCUUGAUUCCAAAAAUAGGCUCAUGUUUUUUGUUUUUGUCUUUUUUUAACCCA